CCCCGAGAGAAAAGUUGAUAAAAAAUUAUGACCCCCAUUUUUUUUACUGAAAAUUUUUUUGACCCCUCCUAACUAUUAUUAAUCCACACGGUGUCAUUUCCGUAGUGUUUCAGGGCUGUAGGAAGCUCUUUAUGAUUGGGGGCUGAAAGCGAGGGCAAAAGGCCCUAGGAAAUUUUUAAAUCUAGAGUCUCUGAAAUGCCAUUUCCUGGACUUUGGGAAAGAUUUU
rnacentral:lncRNA from 1 species